AGCAGCCGCGGUAAUUCCAGCUCCAAUAGCGUAUAUUAAAGUUGUUGCAGUUAAAAAGCUCGUAGUUGAAUUUCGGGAUUUGUCCAUUGGUCGGGCCUCACGGUCCGCACUGGUGUGAUGGGUUCCUACCUUCUGAAUAACCAGCAUGCCAUUUAGUUGGUGCGCCGGGGAAGCAGAGCUAUUACCUUGAAAAAAUUAGAGUGCUUAAAGCAGGCUAUUGCUUGAAUAGAUUAGCAUGGAAUAAUAAAAUAGGACGGCAUGGUUCUAUUUUGUUGGUUUCUAGGAUCACCGUAA
rnacentral:rRNA from 1 species